CAGGCCUAACACAUGCAAGUCGAACGCCCUCGCAAGGGGGAGUGGCAGACGGGUGAGUAACACGUGGGAACAUACCCUCAGGUUCGGAACAACGCCGGGAAACUGGCGCUAAUACCGGAUACGCCCUGUGAAGGGGAAAGGCUUGCUGCCUGAGGAGUGGCCCGCGUUCGAUUAGCUAGAUGGCGGGGUAACGGCCCACCAUGGCGACGAUCGAUAGCUGGUCUGAGAGGAUGGCCAGCCACACUGGGACUGAGACACGGCCCAGACUCCUACGGGAGGCAGCAGUGGGAAUAUUGGACAAUGGGCGCAAGCCUGAUCCAGCCAUGCCGCGUGAGUGAUGACGGCCUUAGGGUUGUAAAGCUCUUUCGCGCACGACGAUAAUGACGGUAGUGCGAGAAGAAGCCCCGGCUAACUUCGUGCCAGCAGCCGCGGUAAU
rnacentral:rRNA from 1 species